rnacentral:misc_RNA from 1 species
GUGCGCCCUUCACAGCUUGCACCACCCACCCGCCCCUCUUUUCACAUCACAUAUACGAGCAUACACGCACCAUGUCCUCCCAAUCUGGAGCUGCUGCCGCGACCAAGGCGCUUGUGCGCUGCACGCGACGCAUCCGCGACCCGUUAAACUACCUCGUCAUGCAGCCGACGGAUCCUGACCAGGUCACCACUUCCAUCCGCACCGCUGACGCGGCCAUGGUAACGUGGUUUGUUCCCCUGCACAAUCUCCAGUACUGCCUGCACAAGCGGUACGAGGCGGAGCAGUUCGGGGUGAUGAUCUUGCCCAAAGGUAUGGCCGUCCCAGAGGCAAAGCCGCUGACGCCGACGGAGGACAGCGUGAAGGCGGCGGCGGCGCGGCGUGGGCCGUCUGUGGUUCCGCGGUUCAUGCGCAUGACGGCUCCGCGACCGAGCGGGGCUGCCGGAUCCUCGCCCGCGUCCUCGCCCUCGCGGCUUUCCUCUUCGCCAUCCCUAUCAGAAGGCGGCAAUCAGCUCAACAACUACGUGAACGAGGAUGGUGACACGGUGGUGCCUCUGGGGCUCGUCACGAUGAUCGUCGGUAACAACAUUCCUGCAAAGCAGUCGUGGCUGGAACGCCUCAUCGACCCUGCGCCGCACCCAACGCUCUCGAUGCGAGUCAUGGUGGUCGACCGCAUUCACUGGCAACGCACGAGCUGGCUGGCCGGAAGCAUCUGCAACAGCCUCUGCUGGGGGCGACUGCCGCAGCGCAUCUUCUCCAUCAACCUCGACUACAAGAAUCCAGUGUACAUCUCCGGCGGAAAUGCGGCGGACGCGGCGACGGCGGCAGCCAAGGAGAGCGCGCCGCUGUUCAGCAAGCACUCACGGCAGCCGUUGGUGUUCGACAAGGUGACGCAGCGCUACACGUCGCCCUUUCAAAUCGACGUUCCUGGCUUGAACUUUAGGCUGAAAAUCGAGGACACCGGCAAGACACUCUUCGAUACCACCUCGCGGGUUGUGGACGGCUUCCUCGACAACGAAAGUGCCCUGCACCGGCUGGCGCUGUCGCGCGAGGUGAACAUGCUCGGACUCGGCGGCUCUGUGUACCGGCAAACGUUGUGGAGCAGUCCGUCGCUACCCAACGUUGGCCGCAUCGUCGAGUGCGAGCUCGGCUCCCUCUUCGAGCGCUACUUUGGCUGCUCGCCGGUGGGCGACCCUGUCGCCACAUGGCUAGUGGACGCAGUGGACAAGACGCUCAUCUACCAGAUGGAGGGCGAAGUCGAGGACGAAAACGACCCGAACAGCGCCACGACGUAUGGCGACCGUUCUCUGACGGAGCGCGUGCAAAAGAAGGCGAUGAACCGGUACAACAGCUUCCGCGACGACAUCCGGCACAAGACGUACAGCGAGCUCGCUGGUGACGAGGUGCCACGUUGAGGGAGGAGUGAGGCAGAGAGCACAGUGCGCAACGGAAAGGAGCACGACACAUUCGCCCACGCGGGUAGGUCGGUGUGCCGUCCGCUUCCUCCUCCGCUCAGCCGUCUCGUGACCUCCUUUUCUCGCGAUAGAUGACGCGCAGCGGCUAGUCUGUGCAUGUCCGGUGGCGGUGUCGAUGCUUGCUGAAUAACGCACGCAAUCACGUUAAGGA